CAGCGCGCAAUUACCCACUCCCGGCACGGGGAGGUAGUGACGAAAAAUAACGAUACGGGACUCAUCCGAGGCCCCGUAAUCGGAAUGAGUACACUUUAAAUCCUUUAACGAGGAUCAAUUGGAGGGCAAGUCUGGUGCCAGCAGCCGCGGUAAUUCCAGCUCCAAUAGCGUAUAUUAAAGUUGUUGCGGUUAAAAAGCUCGUAGUCGAAUUUGUGUCUCAUGCCGCUGGUUCAUCGUUCGCGGUGACGACUGGCGUGUCAUGGGACGUCCUGCCGGUGGAUUUAGCUCCUUCGGGGGCGGUCCUAUUAAUCCUGCCGCGUUGCUCUUGAUUGAGUGACGAGGUGGGCCGGCUCAUUUACUUUGAACAAAUUAAAGUGCUUAAAGCAGGCUAAAAUUUUGCCUGAAUAUGUGUGCAUGGAAUAAUGGAAUAGGACCUCGGUUCUAUUUUGUUGGUUUUAAGAACACUGAGGUAAUGAUUAAUAGGAACGGAUGGGGGCAUUCGUAUUGCGACGUUAGAGGUGAAAUUCUUGGAUCGUCGCAAGACGAACAUAAGCGAAAGCAUUUGCCAAAAACGUUUUCAUUGAUCAAGAACGAAAGUUAGAGGUUCGAAGGCGAUCAGAUACCGCCCUAGUUCUAACCAUAAACGAUGCCAGCCAGCGAUCCGCCGACGUUCCUCCGAUGACUCGGCGGGCAGCUUCCGGGAAACCAAAGCUUUUGGGU
rnacentral:rRNA from 1 species